GGCCGCGCGCUUGAGCUGAAGUGGGGAAGUGGACAGCGCUGUGCUGGUGUCGCGGUGCGCGCAGCCUCUUCGGCAGGCUCCACAGUGCCCCUUUCUUCGCGAGUUAAAAACCGCAUCACACAUUUAAACUGCGGUUCUUUGCUGUUAAAAACAGAGAACUAAACUGUAACAGCAGAAAGCGGAGACUACAAUUUCACGCACGACGCCAGCGGAAGGACGGACGCACGGACGGACGGUGGACGGAAACAGAGACAAACCGUGACCGCUGAGAGGCAGCAUGGGGAAGGCCCUAAACAGAGAGUGUGGGAUGAGGGCAGAAGAGAUCAGGAGCUUCCUCUGGUCAACACAAUAGGACCAUCAGCUCGAAUAAGAGAGAAGAGCCAGACUUGUGGAGACCAAUCAGCCAACCGCAUGGUGAGCAUUUGUAUCGUUCUGAUCGCAGCAAAGUUUGAGUGUGGGAGGUUAAUUGAUGGUUAUGAUGAUUUUGAGAGCUACAAAGCAGAUUAGAGAGCUUUAGAUCUCAACUGACAUUUUUAUGGAGAGUAUUUCAACUGAAAGCUUAGGAAGUAAGUUUGUGUAAAGCUGUCAUCCUUCAUAGGAUGUCCUUUGUCGAGGGGAAUGACAUGGUGCCCGUUUUAGGAGGUUUCCGACUGGCAUG
ensembl:lncRNA